AAAGAAAUCACAGAGAUCAAUUCUGAAUAAAACUUCAUGUAAAUAAAAGAGAUAGAAAGAGGGUUCAGGAUAAUCUUCUCUAUGGUGAGAGAGAUGGAGCCUUCUCCCUUUACAAUCCAAAAGCACAAAAGUCUCCAAUGGUUUUCUUCUGUCUAGAAUAGCGUAGAAUGAUAAAGAGAAACAGAAAAUAUGAUAUAUCAAAGCCACAGGCGGUUGGGAGAGAAAAUAUGGAUAAUUAGGGCAAAUCCCGUAAUGAUUGUAGUUUCCUUAAAAAUCUCUGCCGCUGGAACACUCACUCGGAACAGUCACUCGGGUUGCUCCGCUAUCCGGAACAGUCAUCAAGACUGUUCUGCGUGAAAACCACCAAAUUGCAUUGUUUUCUGCCUCUUUUGUUCCAGCUGGUCCAUCUCCCAUCCAAUGCAACUCCAAACCUGUAAUGACUCGAAAAGGACUAGAAAGACUCGAUAAAGACUUGAAAACCAAUUGAAAAGCAUAUAUAUAAGAUGUAUAAAACACCAUAUAUCAAUUCCCCCAGACUUAGAUCCUUGUUUGUCCUCAAACAAUGUCAAGUAUCAAGAACAGGGAGAAAGGUUUGAAAGUGUGGGAACUCUCCUAUUCUCAGCAACCAAACUUUAACCACGAAUCUCUGAACCAUACAAGCAGUAAAACUAGGACAACACACCCUUACCGGAACCCCACUGACUGCUGUUCAAAAAUCGGCUCCAUACUCUUCAUCCCAAACCUGAAAAAGCAACACUAUCGAGACAGAACUCCCUACAUUCAUUUAAGAGUAGCGUGAGCUUCUCAUCACAGGCAUCAUUCAGGGUAGACGGUCUAGGUGUGGAACAGGCUAUUUAAUGGUGGAGUUAAGAGUGUUUAGGGGCUACCAUUUCAUUGAAGAGGAUGCAGGAUAUCACACAAAAUGGCAAGAGAGGAUAGAUCCAUUGAUGUCCACAGCCUCUACUCGUUUUUGCUCUAUCUGGUGCGACUGUUCUGAUGACGGAAAAAGCAACUGAUUGUUCUGCUUUCCACUUUCCUCUACACACUCUUCAAUACUUGGUACCAACUUCUUGAUCGACCUUUCCAGUGGCUCCAUGUUUCUUUUCUUUCUUCCCCUUCUCCAUCACAUUAUUCUCGUUUUUUUUUUUUUUUUUUUUAAGACUAAUAUGGUGAUGUGACGAAGAAGGAGGUAAUACAUGAUCGUUCUGAGUGCCACUGGUGGUUCUGAUUUCACGACCAUUCUAGUUCUCCACCCCUGCUCUUGCGCAGUUCAUUGGUUAUGGAGCGGUUGCUCCCUUAAUCUGCUUGUUUUCCUUUCUGACAUAAUUUCUGCAGCAGUAACGAGUAGGAGGCUGCGUUGAUCAUUUCCUCUCUGACCUUUUUGCACAUAUCUGCACAUAUGACACUGAAAAACAAAUGCAUGAAGGUGGAAUAAAGGCUAAGGUGCAGGGUGGGAACUAACUAAAGAUGAGCUAGCCAUUCAGGAUCAGCAAGAUGGAUAAAAAGGAUAAGAAGUCCUGAGUGUGUUUUCGUUUCCCUGAUCUAAUGCCCAUAACAAGAAGAAUUUCAGUUAAGAUUAGGUUCAAGUAAGGUGGAGUUAAGUCUACCCAGUGUAACCUGAUCGGCUGAGAACUUCUGGAGAAUCAAGUGAGAUAUGUCAGGGUGUUCCAGGUCCACAUGUGUGUCUUUCGCUACUGCUAAGGUCACUGAAUAAGAUAACUAAAGCACGAGGUGGUCAGUGAUCAACACAGAAUAAGGUCCUAAUUCCCACAAAGUUUUGACUGACUCAAUAAAAAACGGACUCAAAUUGACCCAAAAGAAAAACAAAAGAAAGAAACGAGUUAGUAAACGACGAAAACCCUCCCCCAGACUUACUUCACAACGUCCCUGGUGUGAAAAUAAAUCAGAGAGAAGGAGAAAACAAAAAUAAAUAUUUUUUUUUUUUGGUCGAGAUACUUACCUGAGUGGAGCAGGCGCUCCAUGAAAAUUCUGGGUGUUCUAUCGUCAGAUGAUCGCCUGGAACAACCGCUCUUUUCA
rnacentral:lncRNA from 1 species